rnacentral:tRNA from 1 species
AGAAGUUUAGGAUACCCAGUCCAAGAGCCUUCAAAGCCC